UUCACUGUGCGGCUGAAGCGUGCGAAAAAUAAACACUUUUCAUCUCGGAUCAUCAGAGGCUGUUGUGCAUCCAAGAAAGAGUGAAAGACUGAUUGAAACCUACGUUUCCAGAGACCACCACCACGAUAAUUGAAGAUAUCAGCAAGUGCAAAGAGGAGCCACCAAUGCAACCACACCCUAAAUUGUUUCCAAGGACCUGGAUGGGCGGAGAAGGAGUUUCAAGGCUGACUGGUACAAGAUUCACCCCUGGCUUGAGUACUCCAAAAUGUCAGACUCUGCUCAUUGUUACGCCUGCAGACAUUUUAGCCCUCCGAAUAGCACAGACACUGUAUUUGAUUCACCUUCAGGUUUCAAAAACUGGAAGAAGGCAACAUACAAACAGUGAAGUCUUUAGCAUCAUGGCAGAUGAAACAAAAUAUGUUAAAAAAAAAAGAACAGAUUUCUCUUGUAGUCAGGUACUACUUCAAUGGUGCUAUCCAGGAGAGUUUUUUCCAUUUUGAGUCAGCAGAGAGGCUAGAUGCAGCAGGGCUUACUGAAAAAAUAAUUCACAUAUUGGAAAGUAACGGUCUGGAAUACAAAAACAACCUUGUAGGCCAAGCAUAUGAUGGUGCUGCUGUCAUGAGCGGUAAGCACUCAGGGGUCCAGGCUAGAAUCAGAGAGCAAGCUAAAUAUGCUUUUUAUGUUUAUUGCAAUGCUCACUAUCUAAAUCCAGUUUUAGUAGAUACAGUCAAAGCUGUCCCAGAAGCAGAGCAGUUCUUCUCCUUACUAGAAAAGCUAUACGUCUUCACAUCUGGGUCGUAUGUCCACCCCAAAUGGCUAGAUAUCCAAAGAGAGAUGUACGAAGGUGCCCCAAGAGAACUCCAGCGAUUGAGUGACACUAGAUGGGCAUGCAGAUGUAUAUCUCUCCGUAACAUAAUGGAUAGAUUACCGGCCCUCAAGCGAGUACUGCAAGACAUAGCCCAAGAACACAAUGGUGAGAGAUCUAUUGAGGCACGUGGUCUGCUGGCACAGUUGGAUCUAGAAUUCAUUGUGCAUCUUGUAACACUCCGUAAAGUGUUUGCAGAAACAACAUUUCUCUCUGACAUGUUACAGUCUUCAUCCCUCGACCUUUCAAAGGCUGUGGAUUUAGUUGAAUCUUUAGUUCAGACAUUGAAUGACUUCAGGCAGGAGUAAUUUUUUGAUAACUUGUGGGAUGAAGUGUUGAACAUUUCUGAGCAAUGUGAUACUGCAAUACAGCCAGCAGCAAAACGACAAAAACGACUGAGCUCUAAACUUGCUGAAAGCUUCGUACUGACUACUGUUGGACAGAGAGAGACAGAACAAGAUAAACACGGGUUUCGUACAGCCUUUUUCUACCCUGUCAUUGAUCAGAUGCUCAAUGAGCUUAAUAGACGGUUUUCAAACACAAACUGUGACAUGAUGAAUAGCAUCCAAGCUCUUAACCCCAAAAGUGAUGCAUUUCUGAAGGAGACAACUCUGUUUUCAUUUGCUCAGUUGUAUGAUGCAAAUAUUGAGGACUUGGGGCAUGAGCUACAUCAGUUCAGCAGAAUGUUAGAUAGGAACAUAAAGACUGGGAUGCAGAGACCUGAUAGUACAGUGGAGCUUGUUCAGUUCAUUGAACCUGAUAAAUAAGUGUUUUUUGAGCUCUUCAGACUCUGCAAAAUAGCAGUCGCAAUCCCAGUCAGUUCUGCUUCCUGUGAGCGUAGUUUUUCUACAUUGAAGCUGGUCAAACAUUUUCUCAGAUCCACCAUCACUGAUGAGAGACUGAGCAAUCUGGGUGUGCUUAGUAUUGAGUCAAGGAGGUCAAAGGCUUUGAAUCUUGACUUAUUUGUUGAUCGGUUUGCCAAAAAUCACAAAAACCGCAGGAUUAUGUUGCUGUAAUGGGACGUUUUGGGAAGGAAACUAUCUGUGUGUUUUCCAGAUAUCACUGUUUUAUGUUUAUUAGAAAUGUGACGGAAUAGACGAAACUGAUUAGUGCGCGUGCAGAACAGGUGUGUUCAGUCUUCGUGUUUGUUAAAUAGCCUACUUGUCUGUGCUUAUGGGAAAUAAUACAUCUGAAAUCUAUGUUUUCUAUCUAUAUAUGUAUUUUAUUUCAUUUAAAGUCAACAUUUAAGAUUUGUAAACUUUUGCAUUAAAUCCUUUUCUGUGGAUUUAAAAAUGUAUAAAUGUAAUGCUGAAGCUAACAGUAUAAGAUCUGUCUGAAAUAAAUAAGUGUACUGAAACAAAUACCAA